rnacentral:ribozyme from 1 species
AGAAAGAAAAAAAAAAAAAAAAAAAAAAAAAAAAAAAAAAAAAAAAAA